GACGAACGCUGGCGGCGUGCUUAACACAUGCAAGUCGAACGGAAAGGCCUCUUUCGGGGGGUACUCGAGUGGCGAACGGGUGAGUAACACGUGAGUAACCUGCCCUUGACUUUGGGAUAACUUCAGGAAACUGGGGCGAAUACCGGAUAGGAGCUCCUGCUGCAUGGUGGGGGUUGGAAAGUUUCGGCGGUUGGGGAUGGACUCGCGGCUUAUCAGCUUGUUGGUGGGGUAGUGGCUUACCAAGGCUUUGACGGGUAGCCGGCCUGAGAGGGUGACCGGCCACAUUGGGACUGAGAUACGGCCCAGGCUCCUACGGGGGGCAGCCGUGGGGAAUAUUGCACAAUGGGUGGGAGCCUGAUGCAGCAACGCCGUGUGCGGGAUGACGGCCUUCGGGUUGUAAACCGCUUUCGCUCAUGACGAAGCUUUGUGUGACGGUAGUGGGUAAAGAAGCACCGGCUAACUACGUG
rnacentral:rRNA from 1 species